UGGGGAAUAUUGGACAAUGGGCGAAAGCCUGAUCCAGCCAUGCCGCGUGUGUGAAGAAGGUCUUCGGAUUGUAAAGCACUUUAAGUUGGGAGGAAGGGCAUUAACCUAAUACGUUAGUGUUUUGACGUUACCGACAGAAUAAGCAACGGCUAACUCCGUGCCAGCAGCCGCGGUAAUACAGAGGGUGCAAGCGUUAAUCGGAAUUACUGGGCGUAAAGCGCGCGUAGGUGGUUUGUUAAGUUGGAUGUGAAAUCCCCGGGCUCAACCUGGGAACUGCAUUCAAAACUGACUGACUAGAGUAUGGUAGAGGGUGGUGGAAUUUCCUGUGUAGCGGUGAAAUGCGUAGAUAUAGGAAGGAACACCAGUGGCGAAGGCGACCACCUGGACUAAUACUGACACUGAGGUGCGAAAGCGUGGGGAGCAAACA
rnacentral:rRNA from 1 species